rnacentral:rRNA from 1 species
UACGGGGGGUGCAAGCGUACUCGGAAUCACUGGGCGUAAAGAGCAUGUAGGCGGAUUAAUAAGUUUGAAGUGAAAUCCUAUAGCUUAACUAUAGAACUGCUUUGAAAACUGUUGAUCUAGAAUGUGGGAGAGGUAGAUGGAAUUUCUGGUGUAGGGGUAAAAUCCGUAGAGAUCAGAAGGAAUACCGAUUGCGAAGGCGAUUUACUGGAACACAAUUGACGCUGAGAUGCGAAAGCGUGGGGAGCAAACA